rnacentral:rRNA from 1 species
CCUACGGGUGGCAGCAGUGGGGAAUAUUGCACAAUGGGGGAAACCCUGAUGCAGCGACGCCGCGUGAAGGAAGAAGUAUUUCGGUAUGUAAACUUCUAUCAGCAGGGAAGAAAAUGACGGUACCUGACUAAGAAGCCCCGGCUAACUACGUGCCAGCAGCCGCGGUACUACGUAGGGGGCAAGCGUUAUCCGGAUUUACUGGGUGUAAAGGGAGCGUAGACGGCAUGGCAAGUCUGGUGUGAAAGGCAGGGGCGCAACCCCUGGACUGCAUUGGAAACUGUCAGGCUGGAGUGCAGGAGAGGUAAGUGGAAUUCCUAGUGUAGCGGUGAAAUGCGUAGAUAUUAGGAGGAACACCAGUGGCGAAGGCGACUUACUGGACUGUAACUGACGUUGAGGCUCGAAAGCGUGGGGAGCAAACAGGAUUAGAUACCCUGGUAGUC